rnacentral:lncRNA from 1 species
ACAUUUCUAACACUCACCACUUAUAGAAUUCCCAUCCAGAGAAGAACAGGCAAAAACACACUCAUCUUCUUCAUCCACCAUUCGCGCAAAAUACACAGAAAAAUCUCUAUUUUUUCCUCAUAUUCUGAGAAUUCAUUCACAUACUAAUACACAACGCACGCACACUCAGAUUUCACGAAAACACUGCCUACUUAUACACAGACUCCAAUUCCCAUAUAGAGACUGAUAUAAACAUAAUCAGUAGAAAAAUAUAAGAGAGAGAGAAAGCAGAGAUCGGGAAAGGGAGAGAUCAAGUGAGAAGAAAGAGAUCGAGGUCUAGAGAGAAAUAGAGAGAUGGUGAGAAUAGAGUGAAAAAUCGAGAGUGAUACGAGUUGAGUUGAGUUUUUCGAUGAGCAAAUCCUUGCCGUAUUUCAUCAUACAAAUCAAAAACUGACUCCACUAGUUGAAGAUAGGCAGAAAUCAAUCAAAAUUCAUUAGCAGCGACCUUACUUUGAUUCUUCGUCUGGCUAAGUUUGACGGGAUUUGCAAAAGAAGCCUUAAAUUGAUUGAAACCGACCCAUUAUGGUCGGAUUCCAAUGAAAUCUGCUGGAAACAAGCAAAGCAGGGUUGGUUCUGCUUGAAAUCAAGAUCGGGCGUGGGUUUUUUUAGCGAUUCUGUUCUUGGAUCAAUUGGGUUUCUUUGAUUUUGAGGUUCGUUCAUUGGUUUUUAUUCAAUUUGGACUCAAUUUUGUCAUUGGUUUUUGAUACCAAGCUUGAGUCGUUCCUUUUGAUAUUCUCCGUUGGUUUUUAAAUCUGAUCGGGUUGUAUUUCUCUAUACCGAGUUGAGUUUGGUAGUGGUUGAGGUUCGGUUUGAGGUUUCUGGGUACGUACGCUCUUUAUUCGUAUAAUAUUGAGUUCAAAAGCUUCAAAUUAAGGUUCAAUUCUACUCUUUUUCUCUUUUAUUUAACUAUGGAUGAUAUUCGGUACAUCAUAUUGAAUGUUGUGUUGAUUGAUCUUGAUUGGUGAUUGAAUUGCUACUUGUCUGAUUUGUUGUUGAUUCCCUUGGAUUACGAAUUGUGGAAAUUUGGUGUUAAACGAGAAUUUGGUACGGAAUUACGAAAUUCAUAAAAAAGGUGAAUUUAAAUUAAUGUUGGUUUGUUGUUGUUUUGCUUAAUUUGGAAUCAAUAUUAAGUUUGUGAAUUUGAUACUAUCAUAUAGGUCGGAUUGGAUAGACAAAAUGUUUAGGCUCGGGUAGGCAAAAUUUAGGAGUGAUGUGUUGUUGAAUGUGUUGAAUGUUUAAAUGUGUGUAUUGAAUGUUUUCUAGUUUAUCGUAUUUAAUUCAGAUGUAUUCAUUUGGCCGGAGAAUUCCCCGAGGUAUUUGUGUUUAUUUAUCGGGGAAUGCCCUGAAGUAUUUUGUACUCGGAGGACGUUCGUGACAAAGGUCCGAGGCAUCGGGUGGAGCUUAUUCUAGGACUAGUAUAGAAUAGGAUUCAUGUUUUUUUUGCAUUUUUCUAUUUUGGACUGUAUAAUUGGACUGAGCAAUAUUAUUUUUGUUUUGGAUUGUUGUUUGAUGUGUUUGUUGCUUGUUUUAUGUGUUUGAUGUGGUUUAUACAUUCUUAGUGUCAAAAUUAGUCAAUACGCUCCAUACCACUACCUCCGAAGAAGUAGUAAGACUGUUUUCGAUAGACCCCCGGCUCAAGGCUACUCAUACAAUAUUUAAAGACGAGAAAUAUUCUUCUCAUAUAAAUAUGAACAAGAUAAAUGUUACUAUGAUUUUUGAUAGUGUAAAUUUAAUUGAAGAUUUUGAAAAAGUCAUUAUAAUAUUGUCUAAGGAAGCUAAAUUCAUCAUAAAUAAUGCUAUCCUUUUUCUUAAUUUUUCAG